UGGUUUAAGAGGAAAUGAAGUUUUUUGUGAUGGUGUGGGCAAGCCAAUCGGUGUUCAGAUUUAAUAUUGGCACCUGGUUUGUCCACUGAGGGCAUGGAUACGCCUCUGAGAACACAGGGGUUAAAAGCUGUGAUCUCCCAGGGGAACUUCCUCUUUGAGUUCCGCUUGGGACUGAGCAGACCCUCAACCCUCCCUGCCCGGCCGAGCUGGGCGGGUGGGGGAGGGGAGCCAUGUGGCCGGAGGGAGGGGGAGGCGAUGGCUCAGAGCCAGGAGAGUGCGGUGAUGUGGAGGAGUGAACAGAGACGACAGGCAAGGAGAGUGGUGGUGGUGCCCUCCGCUUCGAAGAAGAGAAGAAGAAGAAGAUGAUCUCUGUUCAAGAGACCCCUCGGCCCCAGGGGGUGAAAUUUGGGGGGGACAAGUGUCCCAAAAGGAGAAGGACUGUGCUCCCUUUGGAACUGGUCAAAGUAUCCUUAAAAUGAAAAACCCUAGAAGCAGCUCUGAUCCAUGUGCAGUGGUGAGAGCACUGGACAUGGAAGUCAUGUGGUGCAAGAGGGACUCCUCUCUCCUUGAGGAACUGAGAAUUGAUUAUCUAAAGGCUGGCAGUGGAAUUGGAAAUUUGGUGGGGGGAGGAGGAAGAAUUUGGAAGGUUUUCAUCUUAUGUUCUAUUGUGUUUUGUGUGUCUUCCUUUGUAGUUGUAGGUUAAUAAAUGUUUUUUUUUUCCUUUUAACCUUAAGUUGGAGCCUGCUUUGCUCUGUCUCUGAUCAUAUCUCACAGUAGGUGCCAGGGAAGUAGGUGUUCUCGUGGGGGCACUGGCAUUGUGCCAGGCUCAAACGAUGACAGAGCCCCAUGACAGCAGCCUGAGCUAUCCUUGGCUAAGACCUGGUGAAUGCAGGUGUGGUGUAGCCUCCUUUUCCCUUUGUGCUGUCACAGGGAUAUUUGUGUACAAAGAGACAUUCUCAAAUGCAGCUUUGGAAAUAUAUCAGAGGAAGGAGAAAUUCUCAUAAAAACACAUUAGAAAUCUCUGGGCUUUGAGAGCCAAUAUUCCCCUUGGAUGCUCCAUUGAGCAGGUCCAGCAGCCUGAAAUCGAGUUCAUGGGGAACAUUCCAGCAGCACUGCCCUGCUCCUUGCAGUGAUGUCCCACUGAGUGCAGUGCUGCUCUGCAGUGCGUGACCUUGGGAGUAACUUCUGUACUUCCUUCUUGUUUUAUUUCCUACUCAACUGAUUGUUUAGGGAUCAAAAUCGUGUCCUUGGGUAUGGAGGCUGGUAAACCGGCUGGGAAAAAGCUUACCCCACUCCCCUGGAGGGACAACCGUUAAGCAACCACCUCUAGGUCAUGGUGAGGAAAAAAAAUCUUCCUCCAGAAUGUAUUGUUGCUGUAUGUUGAUUCCAUGUAUUCCAUUGGCCCUUCCCCUUGGUUCUGCUCCUGUGCCCUCAUCUCUCUCAUUCUGAUGUUCUGCUCCAUCCCUCACCAUCUCGAUAUAAAUCCCUGCCAUGAGUGAGUUCUUGGGGCCUGGACCUUCUGCAGUAAGAGCUCAAUAAAGACUCUCUGUGGAACCCCA